GCGCGGCUUUACCGGCCCGACGUCGGCGACGUUAUCCCGGCGCGAUAGUUCGACGUCGGUCGGCAGUGACGAUUGUUUACACGAUGGCGUCCGGCGGUGAAAACGCGGCCGAGGAACGGACGGAAGCGUCAGCGCCGGCACAGCCCGUCGCCAAUGCCGUAUCCGAGACGACCCACAAAGUCAUAGCGAUGGACAAGGAUGGCGAUCUGUCCAGCAUACCAGCCAAGAAACCUCGCGUCGAAGUACAAUCUCUUCCAACCAGACAGUAUUUAGAUCAGACUGUAGUGCCGAUAUUGCUGCAAGCGUUGUCCUGCCUGGCCAAGGAAAGGCCUUCCGACCCCAUAAACUUCCUCGCUGGUUAUUUAUUGAGGAACAAGAGCCAGUACGACAGCGGCGGCUCGCCGCCGGCUAGUCAAUGAACGCUUCCAUUAUCUGCGCAUCCACCUUACGAAAAUCCAUGAACAUUACUGCAGUGAAAUUCCACGUUCGCCGUUCAUUCCCGCAACGGAUCGCGAAUAAACGCGCAAAAGCGGAAAGUCCACGCUCGCGGCACAAUGCAGAAGUUCGACGCGGCCGUCAAUGACGCGGUAACAUCCAACCUUUUUUCACUUCCUUACGCACGAGAAGCUCGCAACAGUUGUUUCCACGUCGUGCUGAUACCAUCUCCUCUCCACAUUCCUGUUCACCAUGCUUUCCCAGCUUCCAGAACUAUGUAAGUAGUUUUAUGCAAUGUUAAAGCAUGAAUACACGGGGAGUAUCUCUCAAAAA